AUGGCCAGGAUGAUGUGCGGCCGCGCCGGCGAGCCGGCGGUGCGCAAGGGUCCGUGGACGCUGGAGGAGGACCUCAUCCUCGUCGGAUACAUCUCCCACCACGGGGAAGGCUCCUGGGACAACCUCGCACGCUCUGCUGGUCUGAACCGGAACGGGAAGAGCUGCAGGCUGCGGUGGCUCAACUACCUCAGGCCGGGGCUGCGGCGCGGCAGCAUCUCGCCGGAGGAGGACAUGGUCAUCCGGGAGCUCCACUCGAGGCUGGGGAACAAGUGGGCCGAGAUCGCCAAGCACCUCCCCGGUCGGACCGACAACGAGGUCAAGAACUACUGGAGGACCAAGGUACACAAGAAGGCGCCCGGGCACCAGAAGCAGCUUCCAGCCACGAGCGAGGCGACAUCGUCCGUGUCGGCGUCGACGAGCCACGCCAGCUCCACCGUCGGCGACGAGUACACGCAGACGAGCUUCCCUUACCCCGACCUGAGCUGGGUCGCCGCCGACCACCACGAAACGGUUGAUGUGGGCGCGUCGGCGACGCGCUUCUUCCCGUCUGAGUUCGGCGGUAACUUUUGGAACGUCCAAGACAAUUUUUGGGAGACUCUCCCGCUUUCAGACCCAGUGUACGAAGCACUCUAG
rnacentral:rRNA from 1 species